rnacentral:rRNA from 1 species
GAACGGGUGCGUAACACGUGAGCAACCUACCGAAAUGCGGGGGAUAGGCCGGCCUAACGGCCGAGUAAUACCGCAUACGCUCUUUAUGAGGCAUUUCAUGGAGGAGGAAACCUACGGGGUAUUUCGAGGGGCUCGCGGCCUAUCAGCUAGUUGGCGAGGUAACGGCUCACCAAGGCAACGACGGGUAGCUGGUCUGAGAGGACGACCAGCCACACUGGCACUGCGACACGGGCCAG